ensembl:lncRNA
GAGGGGCGGGCGAGACGCGGGCGAGACUGCCGACACGCAACUAGUGACACGCAACUAGUGACACGCAACUAGUGACACGCAGGCGAGACUACCGACACGCAGCUACCGACACGCGGGCGAGACUACCGACACGCAGCUGCCGACACGCGGGCGAGACUACCGACACGCAGCUACCGACACGCGGGCGAGACUACCGACACGCAGCUACCGACACGCGGGCGAGACUACCGACACGCAGCUACCGACACGCAGCUACCGACACGCGGGCGAGACUACCGACACGCAGCUACCGACACGCAGCUACCGACACGCGGGCGAGACUACCGACACGCAGCUACCGACACGCAGGCGAGACUACCGACACGCAGCUACCGACACGCAACUAGUGACACGCAGCUACCGACACGCAACUAGUGACACGCAACUAGUGACACGCAACUAGUGACACGCAGGCGAGACUACCGACACGCAACUAGUGACACGCAACUAGUGACACGCAACUAGUGACACGCAACUAGUGACACGCAACUAGUGACACGCAGGCGAGACUACCGACACGCAGCUACCGACACGCAGCUACCGACACGCAGCUACCGACACGCAGCUACCGACACGCAGCUACCGACACGCAACUAGUGACACGCAACUAGUGACACGCAACUACCGACACGCAACUAGUGACACGCAACUAGUGACACGCAACUAGUGACACGCAG